GCGAGUCAUUGUAUCCAAAAAAAAUCUCUGGAAUUUCACACGUUGACGGUUCUCACUUCCGCGUAAUCUUGCUGCGCAUCAUUUUGUCCGCAAGCACUGGGUCAAUCAAUUGAGAGACAUCUCGAGAUCCUGACACGCCG